rnacentral:lncRNA from 1 species
GUGGAAGCCAGGAGGCUCAGCCCUUCCCGAAGGCUCGCUCGGGGGCCAGAGGACCACAGCCAGCCCUUUCCCGCUUCUGAUGGGGCAGGGGAGAGCAGGGCUGGGAGUCAGAGCAUCCUGCCUUUAGGAUCAAGGCCCUAGCCCUCUGCUAACUGGCUCUGUGGGCUUAGGUCAGUUACUCAACCUCUCUGAGCCACAGUUUCUUCAUCUGCUAAAUGGAAAGAGGAAAAUCCUGAUGAUGCACAGGGUACCUGGAGGAUAAAGUGAGACUCUCCAGGGAGGUCCUGAGCUCAGGGCCCAGCUGAAGGUAGGUGGUCAGUAGGUGCUCAUUGACCCGAGGAAUGAAUGAAACGUGGAAACGGCAGGGACGGGGUGGCAGGGGCGCAUGCGGCUGCCUGCGGGAAAGCUGCCUUCCACCAGCUGGGAGAGCCGAGGGAUGUCUGGGGCCUGGUAUCCGGGCCCAGGAUGCGGCUGCUCUGUGCUGGUGUGAAGGCGCAGCUUCCAAGACUCAGACAGGAUGGAGUCUGGACUAUUCCUCUGGGCACAACAGACCCUUCUAGAAGCCACACCAGAGCUUCGGGCGGGGUCCAGACUCUCUGAGCCUGAGCCCCGACCCAGAAGAGAAUUGCUGUGGGGGGUGGAGGGGAGCAGAUGGUGGACCCUCCCCUCGGCUUGGGCAACCCCCAGGACCCCUUCACACUGAGAGCCUACAGCAGCCACUCGGGGCUGUGAGGUCUGGGCCUGGGCCCCUGGGUGGCCAGCACCUCACCUGCCUCCUGCCCAAGGGGAUGCUAGGCCAUUUGGGUACCACAUCCCAGAAAGCUUUAGCAUCCUCUCAGUAGCUGGCAUUCUGAGCCCUUCUCUGUGCCAGGCCCCGGUCUAGGCACUUUACAUGGAUUUAAUCUUAACACAUCUCAUAAGGUCGGUACCAUUAUUCACCCCAUUUUAUAGAUGACGAAACUGAGGCCCGAUGAGUCACGUAAUGCCCAAGGCCACACCCGAGAAAGCAACGAGGUCAGGCUUGGAACCCCAGGCAGGCUGGCCCAGAGCCCCAGCCGGCUCCAGCUGUGCUGGUGGCCGGGGCAGGGAUGGCCAAUCCUCCCGUGAGGCUGUGCGGCUCCUUGUCCCAGCCAUGCACACGGUCAUCCAUGUUUGGGGCUGAGCAUCUCCUGUGCCAAAGAGCCUCAUUUACAAAUCACUUUCUGUUUGGAGCAGUGGUUCUCAAAGCACAGUCACAGGGAAAAUGCUAGAAAUGCAAAUUGUCCAUCCCCCUCAGGCAACAGAGUCAGAAACUCUAAGGGAGUCAGGCCCCGGGGCCGCAGUCUGCAUCCUACCCAGGUGAUCCCCCUGCAAACUGACAUGUGAGAACCCGACUUGAGAGUUCGCACGGCUGUCCCAGUGUGAAAAACAAUAUUCGACUGAGCAAGCGCUGAAGAUCUCAUCGGUUUUAUUCAACAGCUCGUGCUUCAGGCGAGCUGCCCUCUCCACGUGGCAGGUGAAAAGGAGCUGCGAGGAGCUGGACAAAAGGGAAGACCUUUAGAGGCAGACGGGAGUGGAACAUGGAAGCUAUGCCAGCAAAAAGCCAACAGUUGGUCGUGGCAAGGUCGAAUCCAGGGGCAAGGCAGACGAGUCCCCCUUUGCCAGAAGUCGACCAUCAGGGAAGUAGAAGAGAUGGGCCUGGAGCCCACAGGUCUUGGUUCUGGGAUAUUUUGGUUUCCGUUCUGGAGACCAGACUGCCAACCAAGGUGGGGAGGGGAGGGGCUCUGAGCCGAGGGGCCCAGGAGAGGGUUGGGGGCAGGCCGUGUCUAUUCCCUCCGGGGGCCCCAACCCAAAUGUACAUCCAUGAAGCCGGGCCUGGCGGUUUGAGUGAUGGGUUUAUUAAUACUGGAGGCCGCUGCCAGGCAAUGAGCCAGAUCGUGGUGACAAAGGCGGCCGCGGCGGCGCCCUGGGGGCGUCAUUAUGUAAUUGCUCCAAGGAUGAGGCAGGCUGGGGCCAGGGCAGGGGGGGCUGGGCGCCAGCCACGGGUAGAGGGAGCCCCCUCGGGAACCCUCACCGCUUCACCGCUCUGGGCUCCCACGCCCGGAGGCGGGUUAACCCCUGCCUGGCUGGGUGCAGCCCUCCGCUCCCGGCAAAGGGGCCCCCAGGGCGAGAUCCCCAGUCCCUGGGGACCCCCGGAGAAGACUGAGCCAGGGCUUUCCCUCCUCCGGGCACUGCUGCCCCCCCGCCCCAACCCGCCCUCGCUGAGAGUUGGGGGAGAGAGAGAAAAGACCAACGCAUUGGGCAACUUCUGGGUGUCAGUCGUGUGGCUUGCAUAUCAAACGGAUGGCAACCUCUGUGUGGUGGCCCAUGUUACAGACUGGGACCCAGCCCCAGAAGGCCUGGCUUCAUGCCCCGAGGAUUCCAGUCCUUGAGUUGGUCAGCUCUAAAGCUCGUGCUUUUUCCUUUGUACCCCACAAGGGGUCUUUAUAACCAUGGUGGAUCAGUUGUUGCCUCAGUUUCCCCAGCCAGGAUGCUGUUGAUGGGGUGGAAAGGACCGUGUACGUCUCCGCAUUAGGGGCCUGGGGAAGGGGUUUGGGACGCUGGUGUCCACCGAGCAGAUGGUGCAAGGACAGGCCUGGCUGUUUGGGUCAGUGGGGGCCAGCACACCAGGCCCUGCCCCUAUCCUGCCAGCCAGGGCCAGACCCCAAGAACACCCCCCGCCCGCCCCCAAAUCCUGGUGCUGCAGCCCUCUGCGGGGAAUGCCCUCCUCGAGUCCGCCAUGUGCUGUCACCCCUGGGAAGUCCGUCCCAGUGCCCUGCCCCCCAGCGCACUUACCCAGGAGCCUUCACGGCUGUCCCCCUCCAGCCCUGGGCUCACUGGUGACGGUACCUCAUACCCUGCGUCACUAAGGGAGCUGUUGUCGUCUGUCUGCCCCAUGAGGCCACGCGCUGUGGGGCGCCGGUUCCGUGUCUGCCCAUCUUCACAGCCGCCCGCCCAGCCUGGCACACAGUAGGCCUGUCCAGCACCUGCUAGACUUGAGGGGAAGGGCGUAACCCUCCAAUGGAUUUCAUGCUUGGGGACGGUCUCCAGACCCUGGCUUCAGGGCUCCACAGACCUGCCGGUGGCUCUGCGACUCCUAGCUGUGUGGCCUUGGGCAAAUUUGUAGCCUCUCUGGGCCUCUGUUUCCCCAUUAGGAAAUGGGGUAAUAGCAACCGCAGAGUCCCGAGGCCAGUUCCUGUUUACUGAGCACUUACUAUGCGCUGGACGGUGUCUUGGACCCCACACCAGCCCUGAGGAGGCAACUCCUGUCGUCAUCUCCAUGCUAUAGACAAGGAACUCUCCCCAGUCUGCUGACAAAGGACAGAACCGGAUUUGAACCCUGGUCCUGCCCCCUGUGUGUCUGAUCUCCCUUUCACAGGAUCGAUGAUUAGAUGAGAAAUAGCUAAGGACCAGCAUACAGAAGGCGCUCAGUGAUGUUUACACCCCUCCCCUUUUGCCCUUCAGUCUCCCCUCCCCCCCCUCCCCCCCCCAGGCCAUGCCGGGAGCCCCUCUGUGGGACGGGGCUGAAGGAGGGGUCCCAGGAGGGCUGGCAGGAGGCAGCGUCUGGG